rnacentral:rRNA from 1 species
UACGGAGGGAGCUAGCGUUGUUCGGAAUUACUGGGCGUAAAGCGCACGUAGGCGGCUUUGCAAGUUAGAGGUGAAAGCCCGGGGCUCAACUCCGGAAUUGCCUUUAAGACUGCAUCGCUAGAAUUGUGGAGAGGUAAGUGGAAUUCCGAGUGUAGAGGUGAAAUUCGUAGAUAUUCGGAAGAACACCAGUGGCGAAGGCGACUUACUGGACACAUAUUGACGCUGAGGUGCGAAAGCGUGGGGAGCAAACAGG